GGCCACAGCCAUAUUACCCUGCUGCCCAAGACUGGUUACUCACUGAAGCUAAGCAGGGCUGAGCCUGGUCAGUACCUGGAUGGAAGACCACAUGGGAAAACUAGGUUGCUGUUGGAA
rnacentral:rRNA from 1 species